rnacentral:rRNA from 1 species
UACAGAGGUCUCAAGCGUUGUUCGGAUUCAUUGGGCGUAAAGGGUGCGUAGGCGGCUUGUCGCGUCGUCCGUGAAAACCUGCGGCUCAACUGCAGGCUGGCGGUCGAUACGGGCAGGCUGGAGUUCGGUAGGGGAGACUGGAAUUCCUGGUGUAGCGGUGAAAUGCGCAGAUAUCAGGAGGAACACCGGUGGCGAAGGCGGGUCUCUGGGCCGAUACUGACGCUGAGGAGCGAAAGCGUGGGGAGCGAACAGG